UUUUAUUGUAAGACCCCCUUUCGGGGACCCCCACUCUAGUCUCGGGAGUGAGAGAGCACCCAAAGAAACAUGAGGACCC
rnacentral:pre_miRNA from 7 species